UCACCGGAGCUUGCUCCACCGAAAGAAAAAGAGUGGCGAACGGGUGAGUAACACGUGGGUAACCUGCCCAUCAGAAGGGGAUAACACUUGGAAACAGGUGCUAAUACCGUAUAACACUAUUUUCCGCAUGGAAGAAAGUUGAAAGGCGCUUUUGCGUCACUGAUGGAUGGACCCGCGGUGCAUUAGCUAGUUGGUGAGGUAACGGCUCACCAAGGCCACGAUGCAUAGCCGACCUGAGAGGGUGAUCGGCCACACUGGGACUGAGACACGGCCCAGACUCCUACGGGAGGCAGCAGUAGGGAAUCUUCGGCAAUGGACGAAAGUCUGACCGAGCAACGCCGCGUGAGUGAAGAAGGUUUUCGGAUCGUAAAACUCUGUUGUUAGAGAAGAACAAGGAUGAGAGUAGAACGUUCAUCCCUUGACGGUAUCUAACCAGAAAGCCACGGCUAACUACGUGCCAGCAGCCGCGGUAAUACGUAGGUGGCAAGCGUUGUCCGGAUUUAUUGGGCGUAAAGCGAGCGCAGGCGGUUUCUUAAGUCUGAUGUGAAAGCCCCCGGCUCA
rnacentral:rRNA from 1 species